AAAAUAAUCCUACCCUUUGUGAAUUUUGUUUGUUUGAAUAAUUUUUUUUUUUAAAAAAUUAUUGGAGUCUUUCCCUUUAGAGUUUGCUUUUGAGUUUGUAAAAGAAUUCGAAAACAUCUAAAGGGGAUGGUCAAUAACUUUUUUUGAAAAAAGACAUUUUUUAAAAUUAAACUUUUUGUAUUCAUUUGUCUAAAAAUUAUUUUUAUAAUAUAAAAACAACUUUUGACAAUGGAUCUCUUGGUUCUCGCAACGAUGAAGAACGCAGCAAAAUGCGAUAAGUAGAGUGAAUUGCAGAAUACGUGAAUCAUCGAAUCUUUGAACGCAUAUUGCACUUUUUUAGUUUACUAAAAAAGUAUGUCUGUUUGAGUAUCAGUAAAAUAUUCUCAUAAAAAUCAUUGUGUAUUUUUAUGGUUAUGAGUGUUUUACAACGAUACAAGUUGUUUCACUUUAAAUUUUUUUUUAAUAUUGAAAUUUCUCUAAUUUUAAUAAUUAAAAUUGGAUAAAAUUUUCCCGUCAAAAGGAAUAACCUAAACAAUUUUAAAUGAUUAAUUUUAGCAAAAUUUUCGUAAAAAAAGGAAAAUUUUUAUUAAAAUAACUUGAUCUCAAAUCAGAUAAGAGUACCCGCUGAACUUAAGCAUAUCAAUAAGCGGAGGAAAAGAAACUAACAAGGAUUCCCUUAGUAACGGCGAGUGAAGCGGGAAGAGCUCAAAUUUGAAAUCUUCAAGGUUUUACCUUGACGAAUUGUAGUUUAAGAAGUGUUUUCUGCUGAAGUUUUGGUAAAAGUUCUUUGGAAUAGGACAUCAUAGAGGGUGAGAAUCCCGUAUUUGACCAUUAUUUUCAGCUUUGUGAUACACUUUCAAAGAGUCGGAUUGUUUGGGAAUGCAGUCCAAAAUGGGUGGUAAAUUUCAUCUAAAGCUAAAUAUUGGCGAGAGACCGAUAGCGAACAAGUACCGUGAGGGAAAGAUGAAAAGAACUUUGAAAAGAGAGUUAAACAGUACGUGAAAUUGUCAAAAGGGAAGCGUUUGACACCAGUGUUGUUUUCUCGAAAAUCAAUUAAAAAUGGCUCGAUUUUGUAUUGCUGAGACCUUAAAAGCUCACUGUACAUUUUUCGUGUCUUUUUUAAUGCACUUUUCGUUUAACAAGUCAACAUCAGUUUCUUUUGUUGUAAAAGGGUCAUUGGAAGGUGGCUUUCUUUUCGGAGAAAGUGUUUAUAGCCUUUGGCCUCUGCAAUCGGAGAGACUGAGGUCUGCAGCGUAGACUCUUCGGGGUUAGAUACAUUUGUGCUAAGUUAUAGCUUUUUAUAGACAACUUGUUGACUAUAAUUAGUCUUGUAGCUUACUCGCUUAUGCUAUUUACCUACGCUUAGGAUG
rnacentral:misc_RNA from 1 species